AUCCAGCUGACGAGUCCCAAGUAGAACGAAACGCGUGUGCUGUAU
rfam:Schistosoma mansoni strain Puerto Rico chromosome 1, complete genome